GAACCAAUAUACUAAUUAUUUUUUGCAAAUAAAACGGAGUAACAAUUCGUCCAACUUCUACAGGCUAUAAUAGUUUGGGUUUUAAUGUCAUCUUUCCUCUUUUCACUUAAAUUUUAUAAAAUCCAACACUCUCUUCUACAGACCAAACUUGUCUUCUUAAUACUAAAACCACAUUUGAGACUAGUUUUUUUGUUCACAUAAAAGAACUCUUCAUAAUACGAGGGAUAUAUGUAGCAGGUGUGUGUGCGUGUUG
rnacentral:misc_RNA from 1 species